rnacentral:rRNA from 1 species
AUUGAACGCUGGCGGCAGGCCUAACACAUGCAAGUCGAGCGAGCGGCGGACGGGUGAGUAAUGUCUGGGAAACUUCCCGAUGGAGGGGGGUAACCACUGGAAACGGUAGCUAAUACCGCAUAUCACCAGAUCUGCUCAGUUGGAAUUAGCUAGUUGGGGGGGUAACGGCGCACCUAGGCGACGAUCCCUAGCUGGCCUGAGCGGAUGACCAGCCACACUGGAACUGAGACACGGUCCAGACUCCUACGGGAGGCAGCAGUGGGGAAUAUUGCGCAAUGGGCGAAAGCCUGAUGCAGCCAUGCCGCGUGUGUGAAGAAGGCCUUCGGGUUGUAAAGCACUGUCAGCGGGGAGGCGUUACCCGCAGAAGAAGCACCGGCUAACUCCGUGCCAGCAGCCGCGGUAAUAC